CAAGUCGAACGGUAACAGGAAGCAGCUUGCUGCUUUGCUGACGAGUGGCGGACGGGUGAGUAAUGUCUGGGAAACUGCCUGAUGGAGGGGGAUAACUACUGGAAACGGUAGCUAAUACCGCAUAAUGUCGCAAGACCAAAGUGGGGGACCUUCGGGCCUCAUGCCAUCAGAUGUGCCCAGAUGGGAUUAGCUAGUAGGUGGGGUAACGGCUCACCUAGGCGACGAUCCCUAGCUGGUCUGAGAGGAUGACCAGCCACACUGGAACUGAGACACGGUCCAGACUCCUACGGGAGGCAGCAGUGGGGAAUAUUGCACAAUGGGCGCAAGCCUGAUGCAGCCAUGCCGCGUGUGUGAAGAAGGCCUUCGGGUUGUAAAGCACUUUCAGCGGGGAGGAAGGCGGUGAGGUUAAUAACCUCAUCGAUUGACGUUACCCGCAGAAGAAGCACCGGCUAACUCCGUGCCAGCAGCCGCGGUAAUACGGAGGGUGCAAGCGUUAAUCGGAAUUACUGGGCGUAAAGCGCACGCAGGCGGUCUGUCAAGUCGGAUGUGAAAUCACCGGGCUCAACCUGGGAACUGCAUUCGAAACUGGCAGGCUAGAGUCUUGUAGAGGGGGGUAGAAUUCCAGGUGUAGCGGUGAAAUGCGUAGAGAUCUGGAGGAAUACCGGUGGCGAAGGCGGCCCCCUGGACAAAGACUGACGCUCAGGUGCGAAAGCGUGGGGAGCAAACAGGAUUAGAUACCCUGGUAGUCCACGCUGUAAACGAUGUCGAUUUGGAGGUUGUGCCCUUGAGGCGUGGCUUCCGGAGCUAACGCGUUAAAUCGACCGCCUGGGGAGUACGGCCGCAAGGUUAAAACUCAAAUGAAUUGACGGGGGCCCGCACAAGCGGUGGAGCAUGUGGUUUAAUUCGAUGCAACGCGAAGAACCUUACCUGGUCUUGACAUCCACAGAACUUUCCAGAGAUGGAUUGGUGCCUUCGGGAACUGUGAGACAGGUGCUGCAUGGCUGUCGUCAGCUCGUGUUGUGAAAUGUUGGGUUAAGUCCCGCAACGAGCGCAACCCUUAUCCUUUGUUGCCAGCGGUUCGGCCGGGAACUCAAAGGAGACUGCCAGUGAUAAACUGGAGGAAGGUGGGGAUGACGUCAAGUCAUCAUGGCCCUUACGACCAGGGCUACACACGUGCUACAAUGGCAUAUACAAAGAGAAGCGACCUCGCGAGAGCAAGCGGACCUCAUAAAGUAUGUCGUAGUCCGGAUUGGAGUCUGCAACUCGACUCCAUGAAGUCGGAAUCGCUAGUAAUCGUAGAUCAGAAUGCUACGGUGAAUACGUUCCCGGGCCUUGUACACACCGCCCGUCACACCAUGGGAGUGGGUUGCAAAAGAAGUAGGUAGCUUAACCUUCGGGAGGGCGCUUACCACUUUGUGAUUCAUG
rnacentral:rRNA from 1 species